rnacentral:lncRNA from 1 species
AAAAUAUAUGAAAAAGUUCACAUGGAGAUUAAAAGAAGGGGGUAAUUGAAUUAAAUAAACAAAGGGGUGAAAUAAAAAAGGAGAGGGGGUUAUCCCCUAUCUCCAGGACAGUGAGAUAAAAAGGGGCUCAAAUCCCGAAGUCAUCUCCUCAUUCUUCUUCUCUCUUCUGGUAGCAGCGACGGCGACAAAGAAGGACCAUCGGUGGCUUCAACCACGCCGGCGAAGACGUGCCAUGUCUUUUCGAAAGAGGUUCUUGAUGGUUCUCUCUUUCUCUUCCCCACUACUCUUCUCUCCUCUAGCGAUGGUUUGCGAUAGUGGUGACGCGGUGGUUCGGUUUUAUUCACGGCAAAGGGGAUUAGGUGAGGGGGCAUUCGGUUACCCUCACACACAUUAAGGGAUAAAAUCCCUAAUCCUCAUCUUCUCUCAUCUUCGUCGGCGGUGGAAAUCGGUAGGGUGGGUUCUCACCGGUGGCUUAUGGUGGUUCUAGGAACAGGUUAUAAUCAUCUCUCCCUUCAUUUUUAUUUUUCGUUUUAUGAAUCGAUGACUAUGGCAUCUGCUACUGCUUCCUUCUUUUCGGAUAGAUGAUUUUCUAAUUAUGUUCAUAUGCUUCUCUUGUGGUAAUUGGGAGGUCAAAUAUAAAUAUGGAUGCUUCUCUCCCUUUUUAAUCUUCCUUGUAUUGACUUUAUUUUCUUCAUAUGCAGUGUGAAACAUUAUUUAAGAUGUUUAUCAAACGAGGACAGUGACCAUGGUUCUUGUGCCGGUAAUGACGGAGAUGUCGUUGGCCCGUGAGUAAUUACUCUUGGACUGUCCGGAAGCAGUGAGUAUUAGCCUCACUAAAGACUUCUCACACAAAGUGGUGUCAGCACAGGUUGAUAUUUUUUGCUUUAACAAUUAUCCGAAUGCUUAAGAAUAUGUAUGUUAGAUGUAUGCAUCUCAUUUGAUAUAUAGAUUAUCCCAGGGGUAUUUUACAUGUAAUUAUUUAGAUGAAAAUGAUAGUUGCCUUACCUGAAUGUGUUCCUAUCUACACGUUCAUGCUAUUGACUCCUUGCUGAGUUCCUGCCUUUUGUUCUCUGAUUCCUGCCUCUGUGUGUGUUUUGGAUUAUCUGCGUAAUGUGUGUGGUCUAGGAUUGCCUUUAUGUAUAUGCAUAAGUGUAAUAGGUUGUAGAUGUGAAUUAUGUAUGUAAUUGUAGCAUAUGUGCUCUGAUGGAAUUGUGUAUGUGCGUAAGUUUUUUUCCCUCUCCUUUUGUGAUCUCUAUGUGUUAUGUUCUACUCAACUGUAUAUGCUCUAUCUUUUCUAUUUUUUCUGUGGUGUAAUCUCUUACGACUCUGUCUUUUUUUGUUGGCUGUGUGUAUGUGACAUAUGGUCUUAUUUAUAGCUGGUUGUGAUUCCAUGUGAGACCCUUUUGAGUUGCCCUCAUCUUGCCCUGAUUGUUGCUCUUUAGAUCUUCUGACUUGACCUAUUUAAGGCUGCCCAAGGAUAAUAGUUUGCAAACACUCAAUUUUGCACGGCCAAAAUACUUUUUCCAAAAAUGACACAUAAAAAUAAAAUGAAUAUUUUUAGUUAUUUUCUAUCGAAAAUUGACAUUUUUUAGACAUCCCAAAUUAAAAAUAUUUUAAUUUAUGUCUUAUAUUAAAAUCGAAUUUCAAAUUUUAAACACUAUAAUAAUAUAAAUCAAAAUUUUGAAUUAAAAGUAAAAAAAUCACAAAAAAAGUAAACACAAAAUACCUACACAAUAAUCCAAAGAUCAUGGAAGCAAAAAGUCAAAAAUACCAUGGAAUGGCAGUGGAGAUUGAGGCUAAGCUAUUGAAGGCAGCUAUAAGAUUUAUUUAAGAAGAGCAAUGUUUUUUUAAAGUGAAAGGAUGAAAAGUUGUUCAUCAGAUAAUCAAUCCAAAGGUAAGGUGCUUUUUCUUAAAAGACUUUUUUAGAAUUAGAUUUCCUGGGAUCUUCUUGCUGCAACCACUUCCAGGUCAUUUUCUCAUGUUAAUUAAUUUUCUAUCUACUUUCGUGGCCCUUUUGUUUUGUAUCCCACUCUUGCUUAAUUUGCAAAUUGUGGAUCCUGAUAAUACGCACGGAUCCAUCUAUCUCUGGCACACCGCAGGAAUCAAAACCAGCGGUAGCCGACGUAGAUCUCGGACGUAGAUCUUGGAACUUCAGUUGCCGAGAAUCACGGGAGUAGAUUGUGUGAGACGAAGUAGGAAUGGCAACGGGGCGGGUCGGGGUCGGGUUUGCAUAUACCC